GGGCCGCGGUAUACUGACCGUGCGAAGGUAGCAUAAUCAAUAGUGUUUUAAUUGGAGACUGGAAUGAACGGUCGGACAAAGGGUUUACUGUCUCUGAAAUGAAUCUUGAAUUUUACUUUUAAGUGAAAAGGCUUAAAUGACGUAAGGGGACGAUAAGACCCUAUAAAACUUGACAAGCUGAAUGAUUAGAUCUAGAAAUUAGAGAGUGUAAACUUGAUGGUUAUUCAGUUGUUUUGUUGGGGCGACAAGGAUAAAAAGGUAAGUAACUGUCUUUUUGUAUAAAUAGCAAUGAUUAGUUUAUUUGAUCCUUUAUUAGGGAUUAAGAGAUUAAGUUACUUUAGGGAUAACAGCGUAAUUUCUCUUGAGAGUUCUUAUCGACAGAGUUAGUUGCGACCUCGAUGUUGAAUUAAGAUGUUAUUCGGGCGCAGGAGUCUGAAAAGUAGGUCUGUUCGACCUUUAAAAUCUU
rnacentral:rRNA from 1 species